AUUGGUCAGAAGGAGGAGCCGCUGCUCCUGGACCGCAGUUGACUGUGGGUAACAAACCUCUGAGAGCAAAACCAAACUGCAGAUAAGAGGGAACGGCUGCUAUUGUGUGCCUAACGUCAUGCUUGGAGCCUUAGCGAAUGUGGAAGAAAUAAAGUAAGACACUUCCAAGCCUGAUAGACGGCACUUCAUCUCCUGUGGCCACCAUGCACAAAAAUCCUAACCCUUCUUUAAAGACCCAACUUGAGAGAGUCCUACUUCCUUCAAAACUUUCUGUGACCAUUUCAGUACUCAGAGCUGGGUCCUUCCUCUGAGUUCCUGAAGUCCCGUUUAUUUCUCCUGAGAGAACUUCCUCAGUAAAUCACUUACACAAGAACCCCUGUCUUAAGCUCUGCUUCUAUGGAUACUGAUCCAAGACAGAAGAGUAUGGAAAUACUGGAGUAACUGACAGAAAAGGGAACUUAAGAGAAGGGUGCUAAUUUGGAUUUGUUUCAUAAAUACUAUCAAUCCUUACCAGUAUAGUCUGAAUUCUCUUGGAUCACCCAUCACACAGGAUGCACCCUGCAUGCGUGCGCACAGCCACUGGAGGCAACUUUGAGAUACUGAAGAAGUAAGGCAUCUUUCAAAUACAUUUGAUCUAAAAUUGACUUUCUGAUAUCACUUCUUUAACUAGGGACCCAAAGGCCCAUUGAACUAGUCCUAAAUGCAUUUUAUUGAGUGACCCAAAUUUUAAGAUCUAAGUACUUUUCAGAUAGAGAAUGGAGAACCCAUGAACACCUAGGGAUCAGCAAAACAUCCCCAACAAUUUUCCAAGUGUUUUAUUUUUGGCAAAACUCAAUUUAACUCAUUUUGCAAGCACUCUUCCCUCCAGUUUUUAAACCCAUGGGUCUUUCAAAGGAAAUUUAAUCCAUAUGUUUCUGAUUCAUUUACAUUUUAAGUCAUAAAAAUGUUAUUUUUAUAAGAGCUGUUUGAUAUCCAAGAAACUUUCUGAGCCUUUUAAAAAAUCUCUUUAAAGUCUUGUUGGUUGGAGCCAGGGAGCAGACAUGGUGUGUGAUGCACCACCCGAAAAUGUGAUCCAGACACUCAACCAUAGACUGACCUCAGAACAAUGCUUGCCACACUGAGCCAAAAAAAUAAUGGCAACGAGAUGAUCAAGAAAGUUGGUCUGGACACCAGAGAAUCCUUAAGAAACACAAAAGAAGCCAAUGGCAAAUGAUAGCAAAGGUUAAGGUAGUAUUCAUCAGUGUGUCAUUGAUGUGUUUGGGCAUAUAAGGACCAGACUUUCCUAUGUUACAGCAAGCUAUCAUUUCUGGCAGCUUUCAGGAAGAUCUGCAGGCUUCUUCAGGACAAAGUCCAGUAUCAUCACCCAAAUAUUUUAUGUGAAGAAAAUCGUGCCUUUUCUCAGUAUUGUAUAUAAUAGUAAAACAUCAGAAA